UACGGUGAAUACGUUCCCGGACCUUGUACACACCGCCCGUCAAGCCAUGGAAGCCGGGGUGUACCUAAAAGUCGAUAACCGUAAGGAGUCGCCUAGGGUAAAACUGGUGACUGGGGCU
rnacentral:rRNA from 1 species